GUGCAACAGCCAGUUUGCUCUGCACUAUGUUAAUUAUAGUUCAUUUUCCUCUUCCUUUACAUAAGCUAAAAUCUUUAUGGACAAAAAAUUAAUAACGAAAGAUCAACUUGUUUUCUCCUCAGCUAAUAUAAAUAUAGAGAUUCAAGAUCCAGAGUCCAUUGCAUAAAAAAAUUCGAGAAUACGUGACGCUAGUUAGGAUAGUAAUUAUCGUGCAAGCUAGCUGCAACAGAUGAUUUUCAGGAAAUAAUACGAAUGAAAACGCCCAAGGACAGAGAGAAUUCUUUGAAAUUCAAUUCAACAUUUAUUAAACUCGGAAUCAAUGAAAAAUAACCCACAAGUUGGGCUAAAUAGCUGAGAAAAUACGAAAUUAUGGAAGUUUUGCCAAAAAUCCCAAAAAUCACACCAAAAUAAAAUACGGAAUAAAAUAAGUAACUUGCCAAACCUAUGGCUCAAAUUGGAUUCGUAGUCAACUAGAAAAAGGAAAAAGAAACAUUACCAUAAAUGGAAAAAAACAACUAAAAAUUGAAAUUCGAAGGGGAAAAUAGCGAAUUUUACCCUCGAAAUUGAUGUCUAUCGAGUAUAGCUGGGUGACCACGACAUGCGCACCAAAAAGAGCAUUUCGAAUUGGGUCAUAAUGACGAUUCUGAUAACCGUAGCCAAAGUUAUGGCUAAAUUACCAAAAAUGUAUCAAAAUUACCCCAAUUAAAGAAAGUGUUGUAAUCACCUUCCAUCUUUGAGUCGAUCUGCCAUCUCAUAGUAUCUCAACGACAUUAAAGUGCUAUCUAACAUCUGGGCCUCACUUGAUUCAGAACCUCCUGCAUCAAUCUGUCACCAUAUUUAUGCAUUACCACCCAAAAAUAGUAAGUUUACUGUCAAUCAUUGCACCGCAAUGCAAUCACCGACGAAUCCAGCACCUGUCAAGUAUCGACGACUGCCCAUGCUGGCUCCGCCGAGAAAUGUUUUUUUUCCCCCUUAUAAUAUUGGGCAGCCGCAUGCUCACCUCUCAUCCUAGAUCCGUUAGUGAAUGCAAUUAGUUAGUCACUUAAUAUGGGGCAAUGAUACAUUACUGCUAGUGAUACAUGGCAGUGCUCAAUAAUUAAGCUAUUUUAUUCUAUUUUUAUGAAUGCUUAGUUGUGGAUCUUCUGGACCUCUCAUAAUUUCAUCAACUGAAUGAUCAACUAUGUGAUAGAUCCCAGGGCUGGCCUUGAGAAUUCUGAGGCCCUAGGCGGCCAAUUAUUAUGAGGUCCUAUAAUUUAUUUAUUUAUUUUAUUAUUAUUAUUUUUUUACAUGUGUGUGUAUAUAUACAAAAGACUUUUUAUAAUCCAAAUCUAGAAUUGCAAAACAAAAGCUUGGCAGCCACUUUUACUCCCCUCUCUUCAUUCAAACUGUCCAAAAACUCCCAAAUGCCUAUAUUAAUUCUAUUACUUCUCUACCCUUGUCUUAGAUUUCAAGCCCAUCUUUAAAAUGCACAUGCUAGUGAUAAUUCAUCAAUUGUUAAAACCGAUUUUCAUGACCACACAGUUUAAAUGAACCACGCUUUCCUUAUAUUCUUCCUACCCUUUAUAACAUUACCAAACAAAGGGCAUAAAGCAUAUUUCACCAAUCCCAUAUUCAUGUAAUAUAGCAUUAAUCAUUUCAAGUAGUCGAAGAAAAAUCUUUAAUUACAAGCCAAAACCAAUUAUUUGAGCAUCGCUAAAAGGCUUUAAAAACCGUAAAACUAGAUAUAAUUUUCUAUCUUUCCAAUAGCAAAUAAUUCUUUCAAGAAUUCAGAGAUUUGUCCAAAUGUGCAUUUUCUUCAAAUUUCUAAGUAUAAUAAGAAAGUCUAGUACACAAAAUAAUUCAUUUCAUCAAAGAAAAGGAUAUUCCUAUGAGGUUUCACACAACAAAACCAAACAAUAUCAAACAAAAGAGAAACCAACAAGCACACAUAAUAUUCAAUAAAUCAAGAAACUCAUACCAAUGCAAAAGGGAAAAAUAAAAGCCUAAAUAAUGAGCCAAAAGUGUGCCCUUAAAUUGCACAAAUAUGCAGAAGUAGAAAUUAGCCAAAAGCAUUUUUGCAUCUGCCAAAAUUAGAUGAAAAUCCCAUUAUUUGGAAGACAAAAUUACAAAAAGAAAGCAGGAUUUUGUUGCAAGUAUUCGUUGGAUUGAAGUGAAUCUCUGACGUCUUCUCUUUUAGUCUAGGGCUUAUUUUGAGCAAUUGGGUGAAUUUUGGACAAGUCGUUAGGGUAAGUUUUGGGCUGAAUUUUUUUUAAGAGGCCCCUAUAAAUGAUGAGGCCCAAGGCGGCUGCCUAGUUCGCCUUGGGCCAGGGUCGGCCUUGAUAGAUCCUCAAGCGAACCAAUAUGUCACGCCAUCAAAUAAGAAAAGUGCACAGUUCUUUAGAACCUCAUUUGUGAAGUUCUUCCCACGAACAAUCAUAAUUUGUUCAUCUCUUUUGAUUUUGAUUGUAUUGAAAGGGAUAAGAAAAAGCAAAAGCUUUAAAUACUUGCAUCCUAAAGCAACACAUGUGAAAGCUCAUACCCUCAAGUAGUCCAAGUGUCCAAGAAAAUGAUUCAAAUUGCAAUGUAAUAUUCUUUGAAGACUAGAAAGAGGGGAUCCUAUAGUAGCUUCUCUAUCUUUCAAAAAACAAAAAAGGGAAGCUUUCUUCCAUACAUGGAUUUGAUAAGUAUUUUUGACAAAUAAUCGUGAUCUUUAAUUUAAGCAAAUUUAAUGGUCAGUAUCUUAUGGAUUUCAAGUGUUCAUAACUAACUCUUUUAUGACCAUAGUGAAAUACAUACUGACCGUUAGAUUUGCUUAAAUUAAAGGUCAUGAUUAUUUGUCAAAAAUACUUGUCAAAUCCAUGUGUAGGAGGAACACUUCCCUACAAAUAAUUAUCAAUUUAUUAAUUGGUACAACUUGUGAACAUUUGCAAGAAAGUUUUCCCUAUUUAAAUGUAAAAUUUCAUCACAUAUAUGCGACUCAAAGAAGUUACAAAAACAAAUAUAAAGUUUUAGUACUUGAAGCCACUUGAGUACAAAUUGACUUAUUCUCAUUUCAUGAUAAUGUUGUAUAAAUGCAAAUUUGAUAAGUUGCCCAUUCUUAGAUAAAAUUUAUUGUUCACUUCUUGGUAUUUGUGGUCUAAAACUAAGUCACACAAGUUAAAUGAUACAUCUAUCUAUAUUUUAGCACUCUCAUUUGAAUUGACAUGAAAUUUUAUGUGAGAUAUGAAAAAAUGGAUAUUAUCUGCAACAUCUAACUUAAUUCUUUUUGCAUUAAACUACGGCCAAAAAUCCUACAUCAGUUGCUUUGUAGAUUAAUGGUAGUAUUAGAAACUAGAUAAUAAAUUAGAAGACAACACUAUUAUUCAUGCACAUCUCAAAAAAAAAAAAAAAAUGCACAUUAAAAACAAAACUAAAAAAAAAAAAAAAAAAAAUGCACAUCUCAAAAAUAAGCUAGCAGCAUUAAAUCGCAAUUGAUAAAUAUUUUUUACUUCAAGUAUAACAUUAGAGCUAAAUGCCGUAAUAUGUUUGCUUGGAAGUAAAUCUCAAGAUGUGUUCUCUUGAAGUUGCAUUAGAACACAAUGGAUUCCCAUUCCUCUACAAGUAAUGGAACAUUGUAAAAGAAAAAGGAUCCCAUAUUAUUACAUUUGAAAUAAAUUUCCUGGGAUUUGAAAUUUUAUCAAGUUUACAAAAUAGCUAAAGAGAAAAAAAGUACAACCUUCACUACUGGAAAAUACUGAUGCUAAAAACACGCUACACUUUUUCUAAUUUACGGUAGGGCAUCUUUAAAUACACUUUGUGAAUGCUACGUAAUUUGCUAGUUCAUUACCUUGAACGAACUAGCAUACUGUAGUUUAUUCGAUAAUAUUAUCUCGCACAUGAAUUUAUUCUAUUUUUAUAUUUUCCAGAUUCCAAAAGAGCAAAAAUCCUAGAGGUUGUAAUGCCAAGUUUUUAAUUGACAACCUGCUGUAGCAAAUUUACUUCUAGAAACUGAAACUGAAACUUAAGGUUAAAAAUUGCCUACAUAUGAUUUGAGGGAUUAUGUUUGUUUUCAUUGCUAGAGUGAACACUGAUUCAGACUGGUUAUUUAAUUGUUCAAGUUUUUAUAAUUUACAAGCCCACCUGGCCAAAUUAUCCUUUGCUGGCUAACUGCUUUAGAUCAAAAAUUAACCACAUGCAAGUUAAAAGCAUCAAUCAUUCGACUAUCGAACAGCCAUGAAAAACUACAAUUCUGAAUUUUACGGGGUGCACAAAUGCAUGCCACAGGAACCUCAUUUUUUUUUUCAAAUUUUUAUGGUGUGCUCAAUUGCAUUCUGUAAAAACCUCAUUUUUUCUCUUACAUUUUUAUAGCGAGUAAUAUGUACGCCGUAAUAUUUUUUUUACAGCACACAUUAACGCACAUUGUAAAUAGUUACGUCAGCUUUUACGACGUGCACAAAAUGCAUGCCAUAAAUACUUUAAGUAAUUAAUUAUUAUGGCAUUCCAUAUAUGCAUACUGUAAAUGCCGUAAAAAGCUACUUUUGUUGUGGGUCUUUGCAUUGCAGAAGUCCCAUAUGAAGCCGUACAAUAUUAGAGACAAUCAUGUUACAAGUACAAAAAAAUUUAAUAGAAAAUUUUGACAGACAACACAUGGCGAAAAUUGAUUGGAAGAUAAAGAGCGAAAAGAAAACAAUUCAAUCAUCUACCGCCACGUCAACAUCGAUAGGAAUUCUGUCAAGAAUUCCAUGAUAUCAUGAUUUUUUCCAAUUAGAAAAGAAAGUAGAAGUUCAAGAGCAUGGGGAUGAAGAGAAAAUUCAAUUAAAAGCAUAAUAAUCAUGAACAAGUAAAUGACAGAGAAAUACAUUUUAACAUUGAAGGAAGAGGAAAACCUACUAUGGCAAAAACAGACAAAACAUCAUAUAUUUUCUAACUACGGUAGACAAACGGAAAUCCUCUGAACAUGCAAUAAGCAAAUUGGGCCAUGGAACUAAUUGAGCAUAAAUACUAAGAUAUUGCAAAAUAAUAAAUGUGCACCUUGAUCACUUGUUCAUUCUCUUCAAGUUAUCUCGUAAAGUGGCUCCAAAGACGUAUUCAGAGAUGGAAAAAAGAAUUGUCUUUAACACGUGUGGUUCUAUUACAAGUGCAUUUAUGGG
rnacentral:lncRNA from 1 species